GCAAUCCAUCUUUCAACAGAGAAGUUUAUGUUGACUUUAUGCCUGCACAGAUAAAAACAUUAUCUUUUCUAGCUUACUUAGUUAGAAUAUAUCAAGAAAUCCCUUUUCUGCUCAGAAGUACUCUAAUGUGGUAUAACAAUGUUGAGCACACUACUACUAACAAAUUUUAAAUAAAGAAAAUUUAAGCAAA